UCCUUUCUCCUUUGCAACCCACACCGUGAGAGGCACGUCGAGCAGCGGCCGUUGUGUCUUUGUUCGCUGCCCCUUCCUGCUCUGCAAAGCACGACCAAGAUGUGGAGGAGGCAUUCACGCAGGAGUGUGUGUACGUGUGUGUCGGAAAAUAGCACUUUAGAAGAACUCUCCACUGGUUCCCCGUCGCCAGUCCCCGCCUGGAGGUGUACUACGGACAGCCGGCCCUGAAAACACGCCGGCCCCUUCCCAGCCGCCUGACUCGGCUGGCCCCUCGGUUACAGGCACUACCGAAAACAACAAAGGCAAAGGCUGCGGGGUUGGGAAGGCACGCACGGGGAACCUCUCGGCCAGACUCGCGACCAGCCCGGCUGCCUCAGUGCGGGUGGCACCGAGGGCUGUGUGCGGCUGCACAGCGGGGCCGAGCGGCCGCGGCCACGGCGGUGCUCCGCCGUAGGAGCGGGGAGGUAGGCACCGGCAGCGUCUCGGCGGGAAUCACCGCGGGAAGCCCAAGGAAGAUGGAUAGCGUACGAAGAUGUGCCCUUAGUGCAGUGCUCCUGCUCCACCAGCUGUCGCAGUGAGAGACACAGAGGCACCCGCUGCGCUCUGCGCCAUGGAGAAUCCUAUCGGCUAGGCACCGUAGUGCCCAAAAAUGUACAAGAACAUAUGGACAGGACUGGACGAAAGGGGCCUUUUUGUUAUUUAAUUUCUUUUUCUUUUUUUUUUUUUUUUUGCGUGGUGUCUCUUCAAUUUCAGAAAUUUUACCUCUGAACUGAAUUCAGAAGGAAAUUUGUGGUUGUGGGGUUUUUAUUUUUCUAAUCAAAAUAAUUAAACUUUUCCUUCCUCCAAGCCACAGGAGACCUGUUGAAUUGAUUCUGUUUCCCUUUCGCUAAUACAGUAAAACGGCUUGAAGAACUCUGCCGGCCCCCAUAUUUAGAUAAACCAUGCAAUUUAUGUUAGAAGCAAACGGAUACUUAGAUAAUUCUGUUGUUGCAAUCAUUCGUUUCUUAAGACUGGGAAAGCCUUUUCUACCGUCAAUCCGCAGGUAUUUCUGUCUCCUGAGUGCAACAGAAAACCAUGUGGGUGCAUCGAAAAGCGUGUGAACAUUCAGGAGUGUUUGUCUCUCACCCGGUGAUACCACCAUUCAGCACUGCGGUCAUCGCUCCUGCUUAUGCCCAGGCUUUGCCAAGGCCUUUUAAAAACUGUGAAUGUCUCUUCGUACCACACAGGUGGUAGGACUGCUUCUCUAGUUUCAUUGCAGAAGAGUACAUGCACACCUGUAUACGCGAGAUACAUUAAAUACACACAAUCAAGAUUAAUGAGGUGACUUCCCUGGGUUUUCUUUUCGUUGAAUAAACACUGUCACGUCUGCUUAUUCA
rnacentral:lncRNA from 1 species